CCUGGCUCAGGAUGAACGCUAGCUACAGGCUUAACACAUGCAAGUCGAGGGGCAGCACAGGUAGCAAUACCGGGUGGCGACCGGCGCACGGGUGAGUAACGCGUAUGCAACUUGCCUAUCAGAGGGGGAUAACCCGGCGAAAGUCGGACUAAUACCGCAUGAAGCAGGGAUCCCGCAUGGGAAUAUUUGCUAAAGAUUCAUCGCUGAUAGAUAGGCAUGCGUUCCAUUAGGCAGUUGGCGGGGUAACGGCCCACCAAACCGACGAUGGAUAGGGGUUCUGAGAGGAAGGUCCCCCACAUUGGUACUGAGACACGGACCAAACUCCUACGGGAGGCAGCAGUGAGGAAUAUUGGUCAAUGGCCGAGAGGCUGAACCAGCCAAGUCGCGUGAGGGAUGAAGGUUCUAUGGAUCGUAAACCUCUUUUAUAAGGGAAUAAAGUGCGGGACGUGUCCCGUUUUGUAUGUACCUUAUGAAUAAGGAUCGGCUAACUCCGUGCCAGCAGCCGCGGUAAUACGGAGGAUCCGAGCGUUAUCCGGAUUUAUUGGGUUUAAAGGGUGCGUAGGCGGCCUUUUAAGUCAGCGGUGAAAGUCUGUGGCUCAACCAUAGAAUUGCCGUUGAAACUGGGGGGCUUGAGUAUGUUUGAGGCAGGCGGAAUGCGUGGUGUAGCGGUGAAAUGCAUAGAUAUCACGCAGAACCCCGAUUGCGAAGGCAGCCUGCCAAGCCAUUACUGACGCUGAUGCACGAAAGCGUGGGGAUCAAACAGGAUUAGAUACCCUGGUAGUCCACGCAGUAAACGAUGAUCACUAGCUGUUUGCGAUACACUGUAAGCGGCACAGCGAAAGCGUUAAGUGAUCCACCUGGGGAGUACGCCGGCAACGGUGAAACUCAAAGGAAUUGACGGGGGCCCGCACAAGCGGAGGAACAUGUGGUUUAAUUCGAUGAUACGCGAGGAACCUUACCCGGGUUUGAACGCAUUCGGACCGAGGUGGAAACACCUUUUCUAGCAAUAGCCGUUUGCGAGGUGCUGCAUGGUUGUCGUCAGCUCGUGCCGUGAGGUGUCGGCUUAAGUGCCAUAACGAGCGCAACCCUUGCCACUAGUUACUAACAGGUAAAGCUGAGGACUCUGGUGGGACUGCCAGCGUAAGCUGCGAGGAAGGCGGGGAUGACGUCAAAUCAGCACGGCCCUUACAUCCGGGGCGACACACGUGUUACAAUGGCGUGGACAAAGGGAGGCCACCUGGCGACAGGAAGCGAAUCCCCAAACCACGUCUCAGUUCGGAUCGGAGUCUGCAACCCGACUCCGUGAAGCUGGAUUCGCUAGUAAUCGCGCAUCAGCCAUGGCGCGGUGAAUACGUUCCCGGGCCUUGUACACAC
rnacentral:rRNA from 1 species